rnacentral:lncRNA from 1 species
UGCCAGAAUUGUGUUCAGUUUCACCACCCUCCUCAGGUGGGAGUUAACCCUCGUGGUCUGAUUCCACUAAAACUCUGACAGAUGGAUGUCACACACAUAUCUCAAUUUGGAAAUUUAAAAUAUACACAUGUUUCUGUUGAUACCUGUUCUGGCAUUAUACAUGCCACUCUGAUGACUGGUGAAAAGGCUCGUAAUGCCAUUAGUCAUUGCUUAGAGGCGUGGACAGCCUGGGGAAAGCCUGACAGCCUCAAGACAGACAACGGACCUACCUACACUACAAAGUCUUUUCAGACAUUUUGCCAAACAAUGCAGGUCAAACAUACUACAGGAUUGCCAUACAAUCCCCAAGGUCAAGGAAUUGUAGAAAGAACACAUCGUACUUUAAAAGAGCUCUUACAAAAACAAAAAGGGGGAAUUGCCUAUGGCAAAACACCAAGAGAACAGUUGUCUUUAGCUCUUUUUACUCUAAAUUUCUUAAUUUUGGAUAUGCAUGGCCGCUCUGCUGCGGAUCACCAUGCUGCUACUAAACCUAUGACUAUUCAAAUACAGACAGCUGAGACUAUCAAUCAGAUUGUAGAAAGAACCGCAGUGGCAUUAGAGAUACAAGAAGAAUUUAAUGCCCACUUGGCAUCUGGCUUUCUAUUAGCUAACCAACGAAUAGAUUUGAUUCAAGAACAAAUUGAGGCAUUAUAUCAUAUGACGCAGCUGUCCUGUGUUUCCUCCUUUAGAGGCUUAUGUGUUACUCCAUUGAAAGCUAACUUUUCUCAGUAUUCUCAACAGAGCAAAGAAAUCUCUAAUUAUUUGAAAGGAAACUGGUCCAUGGAAGCGGAACAAUUAUCGAGACAAUUGCUGAUGCAGAUUGCUGUCCUUAACAACACCAGAAUGGAACCCAUCUCGAUUGGGGAUUUCACCUCGUGGAUCACCAAUGCUUUCUCAUUUUUCAAAGAAUGGGCUGGCAUGUUUACCUGGGGGGCCAUUGUCCUCUUGGGAUGUGGAGUAUGUCUAUGGCUUUUUUGCCGUUUAAAACGAGAACAUGCUAGACACAAAGCGAUUGUUUACCAAGCUAUGGCGGCCAUUGAAAGCGGUGCUUCUCCCAGUGUAUGGCUGGCCUCUCUGAUAGAUUGAGAGUUCGCCCUAGAUCAUAUUUUGUCACUGUCAUGUGAAGUCAUUGUAUCCAGAGACGGGCAACUUUCCUCAGGCUCGGACCAACCUAAGACAGGAGCCCGGUGGCGAUAGGGUUAAUUUCCAGUGACGGGUAAGGCCGAGUUUUUAAAGAGGAACGACCUAAGACAGGAGCAAUGACGUGUAUUGACGUGACACCCAGAUCUAGACCAGUCAUAGACAGAGGUGGCCUUGCCCUGUUUGAACAUUCGGGCUGGUCCUUGCCCCUCUACUCUGCUUCUCCCCUAAUAUUAAACACACACGUAUAGCCCAGGACGGUGUGUUGUACAUAAGUCAUCUCUAGCCAUUGGGGUGCAGUCCUAACUGCAAGAGUGGUUCGCCAUGGCCGAGCUGGGCACUCUGUGAGGCAUGUCUGACCUCUCUCAGACCACAACCUCCACCUAAUGGGUUCAUUUUUAAAAAAAACAAAAAAGAGGGAGAUGUAGGGAGCGGCUAAAGAUGGCGCCGACAUCCGGUGGUCGUUUGUGGUAAACACCUACAGCGCAUGUGUUGGCAGACCCCCAGCACCUACAAGGCCAGGGUGAUAUUCAUGCUAAAUAGGUAUUUCAUGCUCCACCAAUCCCCAGUGGACAAAUUUACAGCCACAGCCUGUCUUGUAUUUAAGGCGAGUGCCAUUGUUCCCCGGGGUCCCCAUACUAUCAAUUAGGUGUUCCUGCAAUAAAGGCUGAUUGAGAAGG